rnacentral:rRNA from 1 species
CCUACGGGAGGCAGCAGUGAGGAAUAUUGGUCAAUGGUCGGGAGACUGAACCAGCCAAGCCGCGUGAGGGAUGAAGGUACAGAGUAUCGUAAACCUCUUUUGUCAGGGAACAAAGGCGGGGACGUGUCCCCGGAUGAGUGUAUCUGAAGAAAAAGCAUCGGCUAACUCGGUGCCAGCAGCCGCGGUAAUACGGAGGAUGCGAGCGUUAUCCGGUUUUAUUGGGUUAAAAGGGUGCGCAGGCGGUCUGUUAAGUCAGAGGUAAAAGCCCGGGGCUCAACCCGGGCCCGCCGUUGAAACUGGCAGUCUCGAGUUGGAGAGAAGUAUGCGGAAUGCGCGGUGUAGCGGUGAAAUGCAUAGAUAUCGCGCAGAACUCCGAUUGCGAAGGCAGCAUGCCGGCUCCACACUGACGCUGAGGCACGAAAGCGUGGGUAUCGAACAGGAUUAGAUACCCGGGUAGUC